rnacentral:lncRNA from 1 species
AGUCUGGGUCUCACAGGGUGCUGGAGGGAAGGGCGCCUGGGUCGCCAGGGCAGCAUAGAGUCCCUUGUGGAGUGCCGCAGAUUUUGGAGGCAGGAUCCCAUUCCUGUCGCAGAACCCAGACCUCCUGCCUCCCAGCCCUUGGGCAAGGGCAGGGGGCUGAUUGCCACGAGCUGGAACAGGACGCAGUGUCUCCUGAAAAGCCGGUUGAGGCAGCCACGGGGAGGGGCCGAAGACCCAGGGCAGCAGGAGCCUGUGAGCCAGAACCUGGGCUGGGGCCAGGCCCUCAUCCUUCCUGCCCUCCCGACAUGGGGCCUCCUAAGCCCCAACCUGAAGCCCCAAGUGUUGACAUAUUGGCUCGGGUUGGAGGGGAAACAGCUGAGAGUCUGGCCUCAGGCAUGAAAAGGGCAUCGGAAGGAAGGGCAGGUGGUGGUGGGCAGGCUUGGGGCAGCAGAUGCAUCUAGAAGCCAGUUGGGAGGGAGGCUAAGACCAGAACGAGAGCCAGUGGGUGGGUACAGUAGGUGCAGGGGUGAAAGAUAUUUGGGUUUUGGUGCCAAGGGGAGAGACUGAGAGAGGGGUGGAGGUGGGAUUGCUGGUGGGAAGGCCAGGCAGGAACAAUGUGCAGGGUGUGAGCAGCUGGAGGUGGCAGAGCUAUGUGUGUGGGUGCCCAGGUGUGGCGAGAAUCUGCACGUGUUUUCAGGCUUUGCUCAAACAAAGGCGCCAAGGCCCACUCCCCUCAGAGGACCCGGGGUUCCUCUCCAGCUCCUGGACACUUGACUCCACCCAAAGACAGGCAUCCCAGGACAGAUAUCCAGAAGCUUCUGCCUUCUCUGGGCUCUGCCUAUAGAGGGUGACUAAGUGUGCCACCUCUCCAAGCUUGAGCUCAUCAAAUCUGUUUCCCGGUUUCACACUCCAGGGACAAAGCCAAAUUCCUGGGCAAACUCAGGUGUGGUUUUUCUGCCCUGGUCCAGGGCCGAAAUGAUGGAGUUUCCCAUACCAGGAGGUGGCUGGGCAGAGAAGAGUGGGUGAUGAGUGUCAGAAUCCUAACCCACCCAGAGAUCAAGAGGUGGGAUUUCUCCCACUUUGAACUGUGUUCCAUCUUCUUUUUGUGUUUUUGGAGGGAGAGUCUCACUCUAUCCCCCAGGCUGGCAUGCAGUGGCAUGAUCUCGGCUCACUGCAA